GGCACCUCAAGCUCACUGAUUUCGGCCUCUCCCGGUACCUGCAGUGGGGUGAGCGAGCUCACACAAUCUGUGGCACCCUGCAAUACAUGGCCCCAGAGGUGCUGAGUGGGGGGCCCUACAGCCAUGCAGCUGACUGGUGGUCCUUGGGAGUCCUGCUCUUUGCUCUGGCCAGUGGGGAGUUCCCUGUGGCUCCAGCUGGGGACCAUGUGGCCAUGCUGGAACGUGUCAAACAGAGCAGCUAUGAGAGCCCACCCCAGUUCAGCCCUGAGCUAGCCCGGCUGCUUGCUGAGGUAACCCUCCUGCGUGGAUUUUGGGGUCCCACUGGGCCCUGGGCUGGAUGUUGAGGUUUCCCUUCUCACCGUCCUCUCUCUGCCCGCAGCUGCUGUGCCACAACCCCCUGUACCGUCUGCGCUACCUCCACCACUUUCAGGGCCACCCCUUCUUCCGCGGGGUGGCUUUCGACGCUGACCUGCUGCAGAAGGACCCGGUGGUGGUGGCAGUGGCCCCGCGACCCCCCGAGCAGCCUCCACCCGACCCCGCCACUUUCGCCGACUUUGACUACGAACUCGCCGCCUCCCCGGACCGGCCCUGGCCUGGCUGAGCCACCACGGCUGGGACCCUCGGCAUCGCUCAGGGACAUCCCCCUACCCCGGCAGCGGGUCGGACCCUGCUGGGCCGGGUCCCCCAAGGGGUUACCCGGGUACCCCCCGAUCUCAUCCAUGGGUACCUCAACUCUGUACCUCUCCCCGCGGGAGCAAUAAACCCGAGAGCCGCUGGCACUGGUGCCCUGACUCGUGCUGGGGAAAGCGGGACCACCGGAGCGGAGGCGCGGGGCUGGACCCCCUCCCUCGGGGCGGGUUUGGGGCAGGUCUGGGGGGACGUGUGGGAUGGUUUCCCCCGGGGGCAGGCGAUGAGGGAGGAGCUGAAUCCCCCUGCCCGUCCGUCCGUCUGUCCGUCCGUCCGUCUGCCCUUCCGCCCGUUCCCCCGGCGCGGCGCGGCAGGGGCGUGGCCAAGGGGCGUGGCCACGCCCACUCAGCCGCCCAGCACCGCCCGUGGCCCCGCCCCCAACGGACUCUCGCGGGGUGACGCGCGCGGCUCAGCCAGUCAGAGCCGCGAGUGCUUUUCAAACCAGCGGCGCGCGGACGGCGGCGGGCCCGCACCCGCAGCCGGGACCCAGACCGAGACCCGGCACCAACCGGGAACCAGGACCCCCAGACCGAGAUACGGGCACCAGCCGGGAACCAGGACCCCCAGACCGAGACCCGGCACCAACCGGGAACCAGGACCGAGCCAGACUCCGGCCUGGUGGGUCGGGACCGAGACGGAGAGCUACCGCAGCUGUAGUCGAGCCCGGGAACACUACCAGGCCAUGCAGCGCGCCAAGACUCCUGUCGCGCAGAAGCGGCCCCGGCGCACCCCGCUGCAGCAGCUGCAGCUGGGCACCGACCGGACUGGCCUGACACCCCUGUUCCGCCGGCUGCGGCUCAAGGACAGUGACUGUGCCACCCCAGUGUCCUGUGCCCGGGGCUCCCGCAGCAGUGUCACCAAAGUGCCUUGCACCCCAGGAUCCCCACGAAGUGCUACCCUGGGCCCUCCCAGCAGCACCACCCGAGUGCCUGGUGUCCUGGAGCCUUCCAGCAGGACCUCCACCUGUGACCUCAGGACUCCCAUCCUUAAGUCUGGUGCCUCUGAGGCCCUCAGCAAUGCCACCCUUAUUCCUGGUGCCUUGGAGCCCCGCAGCAGCACCGUGCCAG
rnacentral:lncRNA from 1 species